AAUGAGGCUCAUUUUAUGUCUGGAAAUACCUGGAUAUUUUCUAGAUAUCUCCUAGCCAUGGCCGAAGAGUAUCAAUCUCAAAGUGACAUCUACUGCAGAGCAUUUGUAAUGUAUGAAGAAGUAUUUGUUGUUGGAGAAGCAGAAGCAGGCUAACGUUGAGAGCUGUGAAGAUGUUUAAAGCUAGCUCUGUAGAGCAGCCCAUCCAAACUUAUCCUGCUGAGCAUCUGCUUGUGAAACAAGUCCCUGACUAAAUGCCAUGAAGGGAGUUGCAGACUUGAGACUACAAUUUUUACUGUUUUUAGCCCUUGUGAAGGCUGCCUGCUCUGUUGUGGGUGACAUCUGGAAGCACCAGACCAAUUGUUAUCAUAUUUAGAGGACCCAGAUUUGUAAAUCUGCCUUCUCAAGGGAUGUAAAACCACCACUUGCAACAGUAGGUGCUGGACAUGUGCAAACCUUGUUGAUGCUCAGUAAGGUGCCUUCAUGGACAAUAAUGUAGCAGCCACACUUGACAAGCCUUAAGCCCCGUUAUGGGCAUUUAUAUACCAUGUAUUCAAAAUCUGUUGUUCUGCACAAUGCAUAAAUGUUGCUAUUUGUUUCUGCUGCUCUGCCAGUAAUUUUUUUUUACAUAUAGGUUUAUUUUCCAGUUUAAAUGAGUUUUCAUCUGUCUUUUAGGGCUUUUGCCAUAAUGUUUUGUGGUUCUAUUGGAAAGAAAUUACUUUCUUCAGCAAAUACCUGUUUCCCUGAUGUUUUUGCUCAACCAUAGUUAAUUUUACACAACAGAGAUAUUUUUCUAAAUGAGAUGUGAAUUCUGGAUCUUUCUGACCAUUUAUUUUCUGACAGAAGGUGAUUGCAACUUGCAGAAACUGGUCUGCGAGAGGCUAAGAUUAGGCAGACACCAACGUCUCUCCUGAUUACUAUCCCUGCUUAUCAGGGACACACAGUGUCUUAACCAUCAUGUAGCACCUCAGCCAACAGUCUGACUAUGAUGAUCUUGUUUCAAAGGGAAAGCAUUUCUGAAUACUAUUAACUUGGACUUCUUCAUAUUUUUAACAACCCAAGAAAAAGGAAGGGAACUAUUUAGCUGAUAGUAAAAUUGGAAUUGAACACCUUUAAUUACAAUGCUGUAAAACAAAGAUGACAUGAUAUGAGACUUCUGAUUUUCUCUUUGUAUUUCUUUGAACUUUUCUGGUUUUGCCUGAUAGCUCACUGCUCAGCUGCUGGAGUUGCAAUAUGGAGAUCUGCACAUAAAAUUGUACUAAAUGGAAAUUAUGUUUUCAUAUAUUCUCUUUCAUAUACUGAGCUCAUGAAUUUUACAUAUGCAUGAAGAGUGGAGAAGUGGAGAGUACCUGAAGAAUAUAAAGUACUUCAGAUACAUCCUAGUUGCAAACACGAGAACUGUAGGACUGUUUACUGCUGAUAAAACAAACAAAGCAAAUGUGUUUGGCUUUCAUGAACUGUUACCUUGAUGACUGUAUUUUGAAUAGCAGUGGAUGGCUCUCAGGUAGCUCUGAACUCAGAUAAAAAGCAAACUUCUGUAUAUGGAACAAAUCUGAAACUUUUUUUAGUUAAUUAUCUAAUCAUGAGUUGUUAGAGGGAGGAGAAUGGGCUGUAGGCUUGCAGCUGAUGGCAAGCAUUUUAUCUAAUUUUUUUUCUACAUUUUUGGUGGUUUAGGUAGGCUUAGAGACAAUCUGUGAAAUUUAAAAAGCUUUCAAGGUUCAAAAUUCUUAAUAUGUAGGAGUUUCACAGGGAACUGUGCUAAUCAAGCCCACUUGCUCCCUUUACCUUACACCUUUUUCUUAGGAGCAGUUUCUCAAAAAAUGCAGGUAAUAAGUUUAUGCAAAUACUAAUAAAUUAGAGAAUCAUGUUGGCAUCACUUAUAAUCAAUAAAGGAAUGUUUGCAAGGGUGUCAUGGGUUAGCAAGCAUAGUCCCGGACGUGAUAUUCUGGCAAAGGGGUGCUUACAGCUUC